rnacentral:tRNA from 1 species
GGCUGGUUAGCUCAGUCGGUUAAGCGUGGUGCUAAUAAUGCCAAGGUCACGAGUUCGAUUCCCGUUCGGUCC